rnacentral:rRNA from 1 species
AGAGUUUGAUCAUGGCUCAGAGUAAACGCUGGCGGCGUGCUUAACACAUGCAAGUCGAGCGAGAAAGUCCUUCGGGAUGAGUACAGCGGCAGACGGGUGAGUAAUACGUGAGAAUCUACCUUUUAGUGAAGAAUACCCUCGAGAAAUCGGGGCUAAUACUGCAUACGUCUCUAACGAGAGAAAGCUGGCCUCUUUGCUGGCGCUAAAAGAUGAGCUUACGUCCUAUUAGCUAGUUGGUGGGGUAAUGGCCUACCAAGGCGAUGAUGGGUAGCCGGCCUGAGAGGGCGUACGGCCACACUGGAACUUAGACACGGUCCAGACUCCUACGGGAGGCAGCAGUGGGGAAUAUUGCGCAAUGGGCGAAAGCCUGACGCAGCGACGCCGCGUGGAGGAUGAAGGUCUUCGGAUUGUAAACUUCUGUUAAGUGGGAAGAAAUACCCAUCCUUAAUACGGAUGGGGGAUGACUGUACCAUUAGAGAAAGCACCGGCUAAACUCGUGCCAGCAGCCGCGGUAAUACGAGUGGUGCAAGCGUUAUUCGGAAUCAUUGGGCGUAAAGGGUGUGUAGACGGCUUAUUAAGUCAACUGUUAAAUUCUCCGGCCUAACCGGAGGCCAGCAGUAGGAACUGAUGAGCUCGAGGGUGGAAGAGAGAAGCGGAAUUCUCGGAGUAGCGGUAAAAUGCGUAGAUCUCGAGAGGAACACCAAUGGCGAAGGCAGCUUCUUGGUCCAUUUCUGACGUUGAAACACGAAAGCGUGGGGAGCAAACAGGAUUAGAUACCCUAGUAGUCC